GGAGACUUGGCCGAGCGGCUUAAGGCGCACGAUUGCUAAUCGUGUGUGGGGCAACCUACCAUGGGUUCAAAUCCCAUAGUCUCCG
rnacentral:tRNA from 1 species